UACGGUCAUAUCACGUUGAAACACCGGUUCUCGGACGAUCACCGAAGUUAAGCAACGUCGAUCCUGGUCAGUUUCUAGAUGGGUGACAGCUUAGGAAUACCAGGUGCCGU